GGUUAGUAAUGGGUAGGUAACGUACCCUGUGCUUUGGGAUAGCGUCAUUCGCCUUCGGGCGAAUUUCCGAAAGGGGCGGUAAUACCAAAUAAUAUCAUUUGUCGAUAGGCAAAUGAUCAAAGAUUUAUCGGCAUAGGAGCGGCCUUCCUCCUAUCAGCUUGUUGGUGAGGUAAUGGCUCACCAAGGCAGCGACGGGUAGCGGGACUGAGAGGUUGACCCGCAACAUCGGGACUGAGACACUGCCCGGACCUCCACGGAGGGCUGCAGUAACGAAUCUUGCGCAAUGGGCGAAAGCCUGACGCAGCGACGCCGCGUGUAGGAGGAAGUCCCUCGGGAUGUAAACUACUGUCAGGGGGAAGAAAGUCCACUCCGGUGGAUUGAUCCAACCCAGAGGAAGUCACGGCUAACUUCGUGCCAGCAGCCGCGGUAAGACGAAGGUGGCAAGCGUUGUUCGGUAUUACUGGGCUUAAAGCGUGUGUAGGCGGAAAGGUAAGCGUCCUGUGAAAGCCCCCGGCUUAACCGGGGAAUUGCGAGACGAACUGCUUUUCUUGAGGCAAGUAGGGGUGCAUGGAACUCUUGGUGGAGCGGUGGAAUGCGUAGAUAUCAAGAGGAACGCCGGUGGAGAAAUCGGUGCACUGGGCUUGUUCUGACGCUGAGACACGAAAGCGUGGGGAGCGAACGGGAUUAGAUACCCC
rnacentral:rRNA from 1 species